GAUGAACGCUGGCGGCGUGCUUAAGACAUGCAAGUCGAACGGAGUGUGUAGCAAUACUCACUGAGUGGCGAAUGGGUGAGUAACACGUAGGUGACCUGCCCUGAAGUGGCGGAAUAACAGUCCGAAAGGAUUGCUAAUACCGCAUGUGGUCCCGGGCGUUAGAGAACCGGGUCUAAAGACAGUAAUGCGCUUUCAGGAGGGGCCUCGCGGUCCAUCAGCUAGNGGUAGGGUAAUGGCCUACCAA
rnacentral:rRNA from 1 species